UGCAUGAAGUUGGAAUCGCUAGUAAUCGCGGAUCAGCAUGCCGCGGUGAAUAUGUUCCUGGGCCUUGUACACACCGCCCGUCACACCAUGAGAGUCGGGAACACCCGAAGUCCGUAGCCUGACCGCAAGGGGGCGCGGCCGAAGGUGGGUUCGAUAAUUGGGGUGAAGUCGUAACAAGGUACC
rnacentral:rRNA from 1 species